rnacentral:miRNA from 1 species
AGGCCGCGGUCGGAUGCCAUGUU